rnacentral:rRNA from 1 species
GAAAAGCCCCCGGCUUCAACCGGGGAGGGUCAUUUGGAAACUGGGGAACUUUGAGUGCAGAAGAGGAGAGUGGAAUUCCACGUGUAGCGGUGAAAUGCGUAGAGAUGUGGAGGAACACCAGUGGCGAAGGCGACUCUCUGGUCUGUAACUGACGCUGAGGAGCGAAAGCGUGGGGAGCGAACAGGAUUAGAUACCCUGGUAGUCCACGCCGUAAACGAUGAGUGCUAAGUGUUAGGGGGUUUCCGCCCCUUAGUGCUGCAGCUAACGCAUUAAGCACUCCGCCUGGGGAGUACGGUCGCAAGACUGAAACUCAAAGGAAUUGACGGGGGCCCGCACAAGCGGUGGAGCAUGUGGUUUAAUUCGAAGCAACGCGAAGAACCUUACCAGGUCUUGACAUCCUCUGACAAUCCUAGAGAUAGGACGUCCCCUUCGGGGGCAGAGUGACAGGUGGUGCAUGGUUGUCGUCAGCUCGUGUCGUGAGAUGUUGGGUUAAGUCCCGCAACGAGCGCAACCCUUGAUCUUAGUUGCCAGCAUUCAGUUGGGCACUCUAAGGUGACUGCCGGUGACAAACCGGAGGAAGGUGGGGAUGACGUCAAAUCAUCAUGCCCCUUAUGACCUGGGCUACACACGUGCUACAAUGGACA